AUGGCCUUGCAUCCAUCUGGCCCUGUUGUGUUCAUGGAGCCACUGUACCAUGGCCAAGAACGAGACCCCGUGAACGUCAAGUUCUUCCACGACGCCAGAACGACUACAGGCCUAAACGGCAUGUCCCACUUCAGCAAGUGUACCUCUACUUCGGAUUCGCCAAGUACCACGACAUCCGAAGCCCUCGGAUACGUCAAGUUCGACUACCGUCGCAAGAACGAGACCGACAAGUCCGAAGACCACAAGUACCACGAUGACCGACGAAUAGUACCACUACCUUCUUGA
rnacentral:rRNA from 1 species